rnacentral:rRNA from 1 species
GACGAACGCUGGCGGCGUGCCUAACACAUGCAAGUCGAGCGGAGAUGAUGUGAGGAAGUUUUCGGAUGGAAUCACAUUAUUUUAGCGGCGGACGGGUGAGUAACGCGUGAGCGACCAACCUUGCACAGGGGGAUAACGGACCGAAAGGUUCACUAAUACCGCAUGAGACCACGGUGUUGCAUGACACAGGGGUCAAAGGAGCAAUCCGGUGCAAGACGGGCUCGCGUCCGAUUAGGUAGUUGGAGGGGUAACGGCCCACCAAGCCUAUGAUCGGUAGCCGACCUGAGAGGGUGAUCGGCCACAUUGGAACUGAGAUACGGUCCAAACUCCUACGGGAGGCAGCAGUGGGGAAUAUUGGGCAAUGGGGGAAACCCUGACCCAGCAACGCCGCGUGAAGGAAGAAGGUUUUCGGAUUGUAAACUUCUGUCCUUGGUGAAGAGAAGAAGACGGUAGCCAAGGAGGAAGCCCCGGCUAACUACGUG